AGAGUUUGAUCAUGGCUCAGAAUCAACGCUGGCGGCGCGCUUAACACAUGCAAGUCGAACGAGAAAGGGGAGCAAUCCCUGAGUAAAGUGGCGUACGGGUGAGUAACACGUGGAUGAUCUACCUCUUGGUGGGGAAUACCUCUGGGAAACCGGAGACAAUACCGCAUAAGCUCGGAAGAGGAAACCCGCAAGGGGCCGAGAGAGGAGUCCGCGGCCGAUUAGCUAGUUGGUAGGGUAAGAGCCUACCAAGGCGAAGAUCGGUAGCCGGCCUGAGAGGGCACACGGCCACACUGGCACUGAAACACGGGCCAGACUCCUACGGGAGGCAGCAGUGGGGAAUCUUGCACAAUGGGGGAAACCCUGAUGCAGCGACGCCGCGUGAGCGAUGAAGCCCUUCGGGGUGUAAAGCUCUUUCGACGGGAACGAUAAUGACGGUACCCGGAGAAGAAGCUGCGGCUAACUACGUGCCAGCAGCCGCGGUAAUACGUAGGCAGCAAGCGUUGUUCGGAGUUACUGGGCGUAAAGAGUGCGUAGGUGGUGCCCUAAGUCUGUUGUGAAAUCUCCCGGCUUAACUGGGAGGGUGCGGUGGAAACUGGGGUGCUUGAGUGUGGGAGAGGUAAGCGGAAUUCCUGGUGUAGCGGUGAAAUGCGUAGAUAUCAGGAGGAACACCGGUGGUGUAGACGGCUUACUGGACCACGACUGACACUGAGGCACGAAAGCGUGGGUAGCAAACAGGAUUAGAUACCCUAGUAGUCC
rnacentral:rRNA from 1 species